rnacentral:sRNA from 1 species
AUUGUUUAUUAUUAAACUUAAUAUCUUUUUAUUCUCUGUAAUAUCACUAAACUUAGCAUCUU